GUCGGCUAAACUAACAGCCUCCUUGCCACCACACUCGCAGGCCAAGGGUUCACUGAAGAAUUGGAUCGCUUUCCUACGGCCAUGGAGAGCCAAGCUCUGUCUUCAGGAAAAUGAUGGCCAUGGAGGGGACAGAGGAGCUCAUGUGGGCCAUUCCCUUGUUCUGCACUGAGGAAAAGCCAUGUGAAGACACAGCAAGAAGGUGGCCAUCUGCAAGCCAGGAAGAAAGCCCUCACCCAAAACUGACCUUAUAGGCACCUUGAUGUUGGGCUAUUAACCUCUAGAACUGUGGAAACAUAAAUUUCUGUUGUUUAAGCCAUCCAGUGUAUGGUAUUUUGUUAUGACAGCCCAGGAAGACUAAUAUUCAUGCUCCUAGCACUGUACCAGGUUUGGAGUAGCCAAAGAC
rnacentral:lncRNA from 1 species